AUUGAACGCUGGCGGCAUGCCUUACACAUGCAAGUCGAACGGCAUCGCGGGAAAGCUUGCUUUCCUGGCGGCGAGUGGCGAACGGGUGAGUAACACAUCGGAACGUACCGGCUAGUGGGGGAUAACCCGUCGAAAGACGGGCUAAUACCGCAUACGCUCUUCGGAGGAAAGCAGGGGACCUUUGGGCCUUGCGCUAGCCCAGCGGCCGAUGUCCGGUUCGCUAGUGGGGGGGGUAAAGGCCCACCCAGGCGGCGAUCGGUAGCGGGUCUGGGAGGACGAUCCGCCACACUGGGACUGAGACACGGCCGAGACUCCUACGGGAGGCAGCAGUGGGGAAUCUUGGACAAUGGGGGCAACCCUGAUCCGGCAAUGCCGCGUGGGUGAAGAAGGCCUUCGGGUUGUAAAGCCCUUUCGGCAGGGAAGAAAUCGGCGGGGCGAAUAACCCUGCUGGAUGACGGUACCUGCAGAAGAAGCACCGGCUAACUACGUG
rnacentral:rRNA from 1 species